rnacentral:rRNA from 1 species
GACGAACGCUGGCGGCGUGCUUAACACAUGCAAGUCGAACGGAAAGGCCCUGCUUUUGUGGGGUGCUCGAGUGGCGAACGGGUGAGUAACACGUGAGUAACCUGCCCUUGACUUUGGGAUAACUUCAGGAAACUGGGGCUAAUACCGGAUAGGAGCUCCUGCUGCAUGGGGGGGGUGGGAAAGUGUCGGCGGUUGGGGAUGUACUCGCGGCUUAUCAGCGUGUUGGUGGGGUAGUGGCUUAACAAGGCAUUGACGGGUAGCCGGCCUGAGAGGGUGACCGGCCACAUUGGGACUGAGGUGCGGCCCAGACUGCUACGGGAGGCAGCAGUGGGGGAUAUUGCACGAUGGGCGGAAGCCUGAUGCAGCAACGCCGCGUGCGGGAUGACGGCCUUCGGGUUGUAACCCGCUUUCGCCUGUGACGAAGCGUGAGUGACGGUAAUGGGUAAAGAAGCACCGGCUAACUACGUG